UACGUAGGGGGCGAGCGUUGUCCGGAUUUAUUGGGCGUAAAGAGCUCGUAGGCGGUUCGGUAAGUCGGAUGUGAAAUCUCCACGCUCAACGUGGAGGGGCCAUUCGAUACUGCCGUGACUCGAGUCCGGUAGGGGAGUGUGGAAUUCCCGGUGUAGCGGUGAAAUGCGCAGAGAUCGGGAGGAACACCCGUAGCGAAGGCGGCACUCUGGGCCGGAACUGACGCUGAGGAGCGAAAGCGUGGGUAGCAAACAGG
rnacentral:rRNA from 1 species